rnacentral:autocatalytically_spliced_intron from 1 species
AAGAGCCGUAUGAUGAGAGACCAUCACGUACGGUGAGAGGGGAAGGGUGAAACUCUCUUUUCUUACUCGAC